GGUCGUAGAGCUGGUUAGCACUAGUUUUUUGCGCUAGGGGUAUAGACGGCCA
rnacentral:tRNA from 1 species